AGUUCGGGGAUUACAUCGAUCACACGCAAAUUUAUUUUAUAGUAUGGAAUAUCAAAUGCCAGGUCCACAUACUGUGCGCCAUAGCUGGGCAUCCCGCCUCACAACGUAUGAAAAUUUAAAAGGAAGAAAAGAGCGCCCUCAACAACAUUAUUUUGUGGCAGUAUGAGCUACAAGGAAGCGUAGCAGCUGAUCAUUUACU